rnacentral:rRNA from 1 species
GUGCUUAACACAUGCAAGUCGAACGAAGCACUCUAUUUGAUUUUCUUCGGAAAUGAAGAUUUUGUGACUGAGUGGCGGACGGGUGAGUAACGCGUGGGUAACCUGCCUCAUACAGGGGGAUAACAGUUGGAAACGACUGCUAAUACCGCAUAAGCGCACAGGAUUGCAUGAUCCGGUGUGAAAAACUCCGGUGGUAUGAGAUGGACCCGCGUCUGAUUAGCCAGUUGGCAGGGUAACGGCCUACCAAAGCGACGAUCAGUAGCCGACCUGAGAGGGUGACCGGCCACAUUGGGACUGAGACACGGCCCAAACUCCUACGGGAGGCAGCAGUGGGGAAUAUUGCACAAUGGGGGAAACCCUGAUGCAGCGACGCCGCGUGAGCGAAGAAGUAUUUCGGUAUGUAAAGCUCUAUCAGCAGGGAAGAAGAAUGACGGUACCUGACUAAGAAGCACCGGCUAAAUACGUGCCAGCAGCCGCGGUAAUACGUAUGGUGCAAGCGUUAUCCGGAUUUACUGGGUGUAAAGGGAGCGCAGGCGGUGCGGCAAGUCUGAUGUGAAAGCCCGGGGCUCAACCCCGGUACUGCAUUGGAAACUGUCGUACUAGAGUGUCGGAGGGGUAAGUGGAAUUCCUAGUGUAGCGGUGAAAUGCGUAGAUAUUAGGAGGAACACCAGUGGCGAAGGCGGCUUACU